rnacentral:rRNA from 1 species
UGGCAUCGAGUCCCAUAAAGUGGUCUCAGAGAAGGAGUAUCAGCCCACCUGGAUCUGAGAGCAUGUUCCAGACCUUCUAGGGGAGGCAAGCAGUGGGGAAUAUCUCACGAUGGGGCGCCAGCGUGAAUGCAGUCAUGCCGGGGAGUGGAAGAAGCCCUUCCGGUGUAAAGCACUUUCAGGUCGUGAGGAAGGUAAGUGUAGUUAAUAGCUGCAUUAUUUGACGAUAGCGAAGAGAAGAAAGCACCGCCUAACUCCGUGCCAGCAGCAGGCGGUAAUACGGAGGGUGGCGAGCGUUUAUCGGAAUUACUGGGCGUAAAGAGCAUGCAGGUGGUUUGUUAUAGUCAGAUGUGAAAAGCCCGGGGCUCAACCUCGGAAUUGCAUUUGAAACUGGCAGACUAGAGUACUGUAGAGGGGGGGUAGAAUUUCAGGUGUAGCGGUGAAAUGCGUAGAGAUCUGAAGGAAUACCGGUGGCGAAGGCGGCCCCCCGGACAGAUACUGACACUCAGAUGCGAAAGCGUGGGGAGCAAACAGGAUUAGAUACCCUGGUAGUCCACGCCGUAAACGAUGUCUACUUGGAGGUUGUGGCCUUGAGCCGUGGCUUUCGGAGAUAACGCGUUAAGUAGACCGCCUGGGGAGUACGGUCGCAAGAUUAAAACUCAAAUGAAUUGACGGGGGCCCGCACAAGCGGUGGAGCAUGUGGUUUAAUUUGAUGCAACGCGAAGAACCUUACCUACUCUUGACAUCCAGAGAACUUUCCAGAGAUGGAUUGGUGCCUUCGGGAACUCUGAGACAGGUGCUGCAUGGCUGUCGUCAGCUCGUGUUGUGAAAUGUUGGGUUAAGUCCCGCAACGAGCGCAACCCUUAUCCUUGUUUGCCAGCGAGUAAUGUCGGGAACUCCAGGGAGACUGCCGGUGAUAAACCGGAGGAAGGUGGGGACGACGUCAAGUCAUCAUGGCCCUUACGAGUAGGGCUACACACGUGCUACAAUGGCGCAUACAGAGGGCAGCCAACUUGCGAAAGUGAGCGAAUCCCAAAAAGUGCGUCGUAGUCCGGAUUGGAGUCUGCAACUCGACUCCAUGAAGUCGGAAUCGUUAGUAAUCGUGGAUCAGAAUGCCCCGGGGAAUACUUUCCCGGCCCUUGUACCCCCCGCCCGUCCCCCCAUGGGAGUGGGCUGCAAAAGAAGUAGGUAGUUAACCUUCGGGGGGACGCUUACACAGUUGGUUUCCCAU